rnacentral:rRNA from 1 species
UACAGAGGUCUCAAGCGUUGUUCGGAUUCAUUGGGCGUAAAGGGUGUGUAGGUGGCGCGCUAAGUCGGGUGUGAAAUUUCGGAGCUUAACUCCGAAACUGCAUUCGAUACUGGCGUGCUUGAGGACUGGAGAGGAGACUGGAAUUUACGGUGUAGCGGUGAAAUGCGUAGAGAUGUGGAGGAACACCGAUGGCGAAGGCAGCCCCCCUGGGCUAACACUGACGCUCAUGCACGAAAGCGUGGGGAGCAAACAGG